GUUAUCUCGAUUUAUAAGAUUUGUAAAUUGCAAAAAGUUGAAAAACAAACGUUUCUUUACCUGAAAAGUGAAAGUAGGUUUGCAGUUUCUUAUUCUGUCAAGUGCUAUUGCACUUUAAAGUGUCAAAACAGCACUUCUCGAUUUUGUAAACAUGUUUCCACGUGGAAGGGAGUAGUUGUGAUGGUAAGGAUUAACCCACAUACAUUGAUUUAGUGAACAAAAACACUCGUACAGCUGCAGAGUACAUAUUGAACAGCCAUCUCCAGGUAUGACAAAAAUAACACAAUUGACCCUAUAAGGAUAUACUCUGAAGACAGUGAUGUGCAAGUUCAAGGUUUGCCUUUUUUCAGCUGUAACAAAACAAAUUAUCUGAUGAAAGCUUCAACCACGAGAAUCUAGGAAAGGAUGUCAAGUCCAAAGAGAAGGCCAUAUAACAAAUGGUUGCUGAAUUCAUGAAGGCUAGCUGGGAUGAUACAGUACUUUUCUACUCAUAUGAACCAUAUCUAAACAUCAUUUGAGGAUCCCUUUCUCAGAAAAAAAGAAUUUGCAUAUUCAAAGACUCUAUAGUUUAUUGUUUAUUUGUACGUUGUUUAACAUUCUUCUUGAGAAAUUUUCACUCAUAUGGGGAUACCAACAUUUGUUGGUGGAUAGCUGCAUAUUUUGUACUUUAUUUGCCACACAUGGCUAAUUGAGCAAUGAGGGAUCUUUUUGGUACUAGCACCUACUGCAACACAGGACCUCUGUAUAUACAGUCUCAUCUAUGUCCGACUGUGGGAUUUCAAACCAGCAAUUUAUGGAUCAACUCCUUACUCAUGACUCUCGAGCAGAUGCUCUUGCCACUGUGCCAUACAGGUUACUUCAUAGGUUAUAAAAUGAUAAGAUAAGAUUUAUAACUUAAAACUGAAUGUUUUUAAUUCAAUCUCAGUGUAGAAAGUGUUUGCAAAAAAGGGAGGUAAUAGCUACAUGUAGCUCUCACUGGUAUUGCAUGCUUAAACUAUAUGAAUUACAUAUUGUAAUUACACAUGUACAUGUAUUUUAAAUCAGAUCAGUAAAGAAAGAAACACUUGAAUAUUUUUAUUAUAAAUUUUAUUAUAAAGUUGAUUAUCUUUAAAAAAUGGAACUUUAAUU